AAAGGGGUUAUUAAGGAUAACUAGCUAAUAUAUUUAAGGAGGUGUCGAAUCCAAAAUCAUUAUUCUAAAGAUGUAAUAAUGUAAAUCCGAGAGGGAAACCUCAAUACUAAUUACGAAGUGAAAUGAAACAUCUUAGUAACUUUAGGAAAAGAAAUCAACCGAGAUUUUAUGAGUAGUGGUGAGCGAAAGUAAAUUAGCCAAGUAUUUAUAUAAUAGAUUAAAUAUAAUUAAUUACAAAAUUAAUUGUAGUCUUCGAAUGAAAGAUCAAUCUCCUCUUUUAAAAGUUGGAAUGCUUUAGCCAAGGAUGGUGAAAGCCCAGAGUCCCAGGAAUAUAAAUACAAAAUAAGUAGAACGAGAGAUAACUUGUUUGAAUACAGAUAAUAUUUAUGUAGUAAUGUAUGGAACAAUUCAACUGUAUACUAAUUACACAUAAGAUUAUUAGGGGAACUAUCCUCUAAGGCUAAAUAUAAUAUAUUAAGCGAUAGUGAAGAGUACCGUGAGGGAAAGUUGAAAAGAAUAUAAGUGAAACAGAUCUUGAAUUAAUAACCUUAUAAGCAGUCGGAGGUCCAAAGACUGACGACGUACCUUUUGCAUAAUGGGUCAGCAAGUUAAUAUGCAAUGCAAGUCGCAAGACCUAAUGAAGAUGAUUCUGAACAGGGAUAUAAAGUAUUGUGUAUUAGACCCGAAAUCUAGUGAUCUUACUAUGAUCAGACAACUUCAGGUCGAACUGGUGUACGUCGCAAAGUACUCAGAAGAAUUGUGGUAAGUAGUGAAAUACAAAUCGGACUAGGAUAUAGCUGGUUUUCUGCGAAAAUUGUUUUGGCAAAUUGUUUAUUCCUCUUAAAAAUAGUAGGUAUAGCACUGAAUAUCUCGAGGGAGUAUGAAAAUAUUUAUCUCAGAUAUUUAAUCUCAAAAUAACUAUUUCUUAAAAUAAAUAAUCAGACUAUGUGCGAUAAGGUAGAUAGUCGAAAGGGAAACAGCCCAGAACAGUAAUUAAAGCUCCCCAAUUAAUAUUAAGUGAAAUAAAAGUUGUUGGAUAUCUAAAACAGUUAAGAAGUGGGCUUGGAAACAGCCAUCUUUUAAAGAACACGUAAAAGUGCAAUGAUCUAUGAUCUCCAGCGCUGAAAAUAUCCGGAUCUAAAUAUUAUGCUGAAAGACUGUUUAUUUUUUUUUUAAUUAACUGUAAUUUAAUUAAAAAAAAUAAGGUAGCAGAACAUUUAGUAAAUGUGUGAAGAAUAGUAUUUUAUUAUUCGGACAUAACUAAAGAGAGAAUGCUGACAUGAGUAACGUUAAAAUAGGUGAAAAUCCUAUUCGCCGAAAAUGGAAGGUUUUUAUAGUUC
rnacentral:rRNA from 1 species